GGAAUCUUCGGCAAUGGGGGCAACCCUGACCGAGCAACGCCGCGUGAGUGAAGAAGGUUUUCAGAUCGUAAAGCUCUGUUGUAAGAGAAGAACGUGUGUGAGAGUGGAAAGUUCACACAGUGACGGUAACUUACCAGAAAGGGACGGCUAACUACGUGCCAG
rnacentral:rRNA from 1 species